AAUCAAUCAACAAAGAGUAUAUGGUGGAGAUCUAGGGACCUAGAGCCGAUGAAGGGCGUGAUAACCGACGAUAUGCUUCGGGGAGCAGGACGUAUGCUUUGAUCCGAAGAUUCCCGAAUAGGGCAACCUAAAACAUUCCUUCUUGAAUUCAUAGAGAAGAGAAAGACAACCCAGUGAACUGAAACAUCUUAGUAGCUGGAGGAAAAGAAAGCAAAAGCGAUUCCCAAAGUAGCGGCGAGCGAAAUGGGACCAGUCUAAAAGAAAAAUUUAUUUUUCUGGUUAUAGGACCAAACACAAAGGUAUAGAAAUUGAUGAGAAACGAAGCAGCUGAAUCCUGCGCCAUAGAUGGUGAAAGCCCAGUCGUUGAACCUUCACUCAAUGCCGUUUGGCUCCCAAGUAGUAUGGGGCACGUGAAAUCCCGUAUGAAUUCGCCAGGACCACCUGGUAAGACUAAAUACUCCUAGGUCACCGAUAGCGAAAAGUACCGCGAGGGAAAGAUGAAAAGAACCCCUAUUCGGGGAGUGAAAUAGAACAUGAAACCGUAUACUUACAAUUGGUAGGAGGAUGAACACAUCUGACUGCAUGCCUGUUGAAGAAUGAUCUGGCGACUUACGGUAAGUGGCAUGGUUAAGAUUUUUCAUCGAAGCCAAAGCGAAAGCAUGUCUGAAUAGGGCACUCGUCCCUUAUCGUAGACCCGAACCCAGGUGAUCUAACCAUGACCAGAAUGAAGCUUUGGUGAAACGAAGUGGAGGUUCGAACCGACCGAUGUUGAAAAAUCGACGGAUGAGUUGUGGUUAGGGGUGAAAUGCCAAUCGAACUUGGAGCUAGCUGGUUCUCCUCGAAAUGCGUUGAGGCGCAGCGGUUAUUUAUGAACUCUCAUGGGGUAAAGCUCUGUUUCGGUGCGGGCUGCGAAAGCGGUACCAAUCUGUUGCAAACUCGGAAUACGUGAGAUGAUUUCAAAUAGCCAGUGAGACUGCGGGGGACAAGCUUCGUAGUCAAAAGGGAAACAGCCCAGACCAUCAGUUAAGGCUCCUAAAUAAAAGCUAAGUGGUAAAGGAGGUGAAAAUGCUGUGACAAUCAGGAGGUUUGCCUAGAAGCAGCCACCCUCUAAGGAGUGCGUAAUAGCUCACUGAUCAAGCGUUUUUGCGCCGAAAAUUUCCGGAACUAAGUUUUUUGCCGAAGCUAUGGAUAUAUUCUCUUAUAGAAUAUGUGGUAGAGGAGCGUUCCGCCCAGGGAGAAGCCAAGCGCGUAAGCCGCGGUGGACAGGGCGGAAGUGAGAAUGUCAGAUUGAGUAACGAAAACACUAGUGAGAAUCUAGUGCCCCGAAAACGUAAGGGUUCCUCUGCAAGGCUCGUCCUCAGAGGGUCAGUCAGGACCUAAGGUGAGGCCGAAAGGCGUAAUCGAUGGAAAGAAGGUUUAUAUUCCUUCACCGUUAUUUUAUUAGUCCUAAGGGACGAACAAAUGAAGCGAAAGAAAUUUGCCACCUUGGCCGGUGGAAGAACGAAUUGCUUGUCCCUCCAUUUUUUCCAAGAAAAGCUUAUCGACUUUGAUAAAAUAGCGCCUGUACCGUAAACCGACACAGGUACGUGGGUUGAAUAAACUAAGGGGAGCGAGAUAACUCUCUCUAAGGAACUCGGCAAAUUGGCUCUGUACCUUCGGAAGAAAGAGUGCCCUUGUAAAAGGGCCGCAGUGAAGAGAUCCAGGCGACUGUUUACCAAAAACACAGGUCUCCGCAAAGUCGUAAGACGAUGUAUGGGGGCUGACACCUGCCCAGUGCCAGAAGGUUAAAGAAGUUGGUUAGUUUCGACGAAGCUGACGACUGAAGCCCUGGUGAACGGCGGCAGUAACUAUAACUGUCCUAAGGUAGCGAAAUUCCUUGUCGGGAUCUGUGAAGAUGCGGAUUACCUGCACGCGGACAGAAAGACCCUAUGAAGCUUUACUGUACCCUGGAAUUGCUCUCAAGCUUGCUUUGCGCAGCUUAGGUGGGAGACGUUGAACUUCUUUUUCCGGAAAGGAGGGAGUCAUCAGUGAGAUACCACUCUUAGUAAGCUAGAGCGCUCAUUUCUUACCGUUAUCCGGUAGAAAGACAGUUUCAGGCGGGCAGUUUGACUGGGGCAGUCACCUCCCAAAAGGUAAUGGAGGUGUACAAAGGUUCGCUCAGGCUGGACGGAAAUCAGCCAUAGAGUGUAAAAGCAAAAGCGAGCUUGACUGCGAGACUGACAUGUCAAGCAGAGACGAAAGUCGGUUUUAGUGAUCCGACGGUGCUGAGUGGAAAGGCCGUCGCUCAACGGAUAAAAGUUACUCUAGGGAUAACAGGCUAAUCUCCCCCAAGAGUUCACAUCGACGGGGAGGUUUGGCACCUCGAUGUCGGCUUAUCGCAUCCUGGAGCGGAAGUACGUUCCAAGGGUUGGGCUGUUCGCCCAUAGAAAGCGGUACAUGAGCUGGGUUCAGAACGUCGUGAGACAGUUUGGUCCAUAUCCCGUGUAGGCGUUUAGAACAUUGAAAGGAUCUCCCCUUUGUACGAGAGGACCAGGUGGGGACAAUCCGCUAGUGUACCAGUUAUUCCGCCAGGGGUAAACGCUGGGUAGCUAUGAUUGGAGCAAAUAACUGCUGAAAGCAUAUAAGUAGGAAGUUCACCUUAAGAUGAGUGUUCUUUGUCUAUGAAACUUUAAGUUUCAACAAUGACAGUAAGAUCACGGCAAGACUAGCCGUUUAAUAGGCGUAAUGUAGACGCGCAGUAAUGCGUUUUGAAGCUGAUACGUACUAAUAGAUCGAAGGAUUUGAUUU
rnacentral:rRNA from 1 species